CACCAUCCCACAAAUGAUAUUCUCUACUUAAGGUUUGAGCAGUAUGUGGGCUACGCUCUUUGCACCCUUUUGUUCAUCAGCAUCAUUUACAAUAUUGAAUAUAAGUAUGCAACUUUUGCUUUGUCCCUCUCAAGUGCUAAGACUUCAAUUCCUUAUGGCUGAGAAGAUUGAUGUUGAUGAUAUAACUUAAAAACACCAGCAGAGAAGCUUUUGGAUUUGUGUAAUGGGAAGUGGGGACAAUCUGUUGACGUUGUUUUUGAAGAGCUGCUUUAUUGAUAUGAAUUACAUUCUUCCCUUCUAUCUUGGGCUGAGAGCAAUCCGAAUCUUCAGCGUUUUCUAUUUGUAAUUUGCAGGGUGACAUGCAAUUACCAGAAUAAAGGAUGGUCUUAUAUUACGAGGAUUCUGAUGUAGUUGUCAUUGAAUAUAAGAUACUUUGUUCCAAUCUAUAUGCUGCUCCAUUGUCCUAAUUGCUAAAGUUUGAUAUUGCUUUCUAAUACUAUGUUCUUACAGGGUGACAAUUACGUGGCAUUGCUGACAUCACAACCAUGGAGAUAUCAAAUGAGCUGCAAUAUAUAUAUCUAUUGCUACCUGUCCUGACCCACACAUGUCAUCAUUUUGAAAGAUCAGAUCAGAAUGAUGAAUAUAUGUUGGGUGGGGUCGAACAAGUAAAAAGCCGUCCCGGCCCGCCGGACCCUGUCCCGUUGCUAUCUCUGGAAUGGUGGGGAUUGAGCAUUGGAUUCCAGGCAGUGGGCAACUAUUUGGAAGUUGUGUGCGGGGCUGGAAAGAGGGACCAGAGACAGAUAGAUUAGUUUUUGUUUGAGAUAAAAACUCUCUCCCAAUAAUUGAAGCCUUCCCAUUUGCAAUCUUAUUCAAAUUUCCAUCUUCUUAGGUUAAUUUUUGCUAUUAGUGCUUAUACUUUGUGAAAUUUAUGGAUUUAGUGUUUAUAUUUUAAUUUAAUUAAAAUUUAAUUGUUUUACGUUUCAAA